rnacentral:rRNA from 1 species
CCUACGGGUGGCUGCAGUGGGGAAUAUUGGACAAUGGGCGAAAGCCUGAUCCAGCCAUGCCGCGUGUGUGAAGAAGGCCUUCGGGUUAUAAAGCACUUUCAGUGGGGAAGAAAGCCUUGGGGCUAAUACCCUCGAGGAAGGACAUCACCCGCAGAAGAAGCACCGGCUAACUCCGUGCCAGCAGCCGCGGUAAUACGGAGGGUGCGAGCGUUAAUCGGAAUUACUGGGCGUAAAGCGCGCGUAGGCGGUCUGAUAAGCCGGUUGUGAAAGCCCCGGGCUCAACCUGGGAACGGCAUCCGGAACUGUCAGGCUAGAGUGCAGGAGAGGAAGGUAGAAUUCCCGGUGUAGCGGUGAAAUGCGUAGAGAUCGGGAGGAAUACCAGUGGCGAAGGCGGCCUUCUGGACUGACACUGACGCUGAGGUGCGAAAGCGUGGGUAGCAAACAGGAUUAGAUACCCCUGUAGUC